rnacentral:Y_RNA from 1 species
GGUUGGUCUGAGAGUUGUGGUGUUUACAACUAAUUGAUCACAACCAACUACAGAUUUCUUUGUUCCUUCUCCAUUCCCACUACUUCACUUGACCAGCCUUGG